UGGUGGAGUGAUUUGUCUGGUUAAUUCCGUUAACGAACGAGACCUCAGCCUGCUAACUAGUUACACGAAGAAUCUCCUUCGUGGCCAACUUCUUAGAGGGACUAUGGCCGUCUAGGCCAUGGAAGUUUGAGGCAAUAACA
rnacentral:rRNA from 1 species